UACGUAGGGUGCAAGCGUUAAUCGGAAUUACUGGGCGUAAAGCGUGCGCAGGCGGUUUCGUAAGUCUGUCGUGAAAUCCUCGGGCUCAACCUGAGAAUUGCGAUGGAGACUGCAAGGCUAGAAUCUGGCAGAGGGGGGUAGAAUUCCACGUGUAGCAGUGAAAUGCGUAGAGAUGUGGAGGAAUACCGAUGGCGAAGGCAGCCCCCUGGGCCAAUACUGACGCUCAUGCACGAAAGCGUGGGGAGCAAACAGG
rnacentral:rRNA from 1 species